rnacentral:tRNA from 1 species
AGUAAAGUGACUGAUAAUAGGUGAUAAAUUGUAAAUUUAUAUAAGAAACUUUAAAUUCCUUUACUA